rnacentral:rRNA from 1 species
CAGUCGCCGCGGUAAUACGUAGGGCGCAAGCGUUGUCCGGAAUUAUUGGGCGUAAAGCGUGCGUAGGCGGCUUCUUAAGUCGGAUGUGAAAUCCCUGAGCUUAACUUAGGAAUUGCAUUCGAUACUGGGAAGCUAGAGUAUGGGAGAGGAUGGUAGAAUUCCAGGUGUAGCGGUGAAAUGCGUAGAGAUCUGGAGGAAUACCGAUGGCGAAGGCAGCCAUCUGGCCUAAUACUGACGCUGAGGUACGAAAGCAUGGGGAGCAAACAGGAUUAGAUACCCCCGUAGUCCCUGUCUCUUAUAA